UACGCUAAUACCGCACACGAUCCACGGAUGAAAGUAGGGGACCUUCGGGCCUUAUGCUUUUGGAGCGGCCGAUAUCUGAUUAGCUAGUUGGUGAGGUAAAGGCUCACCAAGGCGACGAUCAGUAGCUGGUCUGAGAGGACGACCAGCCACACUGGAACUGAGACACGGUCCAGACUCCUACGGGAGGCAGCAGUGGGGAAUUUUGGACAAUGGGCGCAAGCCUGAUCCAGCAAUGCCGCGUGAGUGAAGAAGGCCUUCGGGUUGUAAAGCUCUUUUGUCAGGGAAGAAACGGGGUUGGCUAAUAUCCAGCCCUAAUGACGGUACCUGAAGAAUAAGCACCGGCCAACUACGUGCCAGCAGCCGGGUAAUACGUAGGGU
rnacentral:rRNA from 1 species